rnacentral:ncRNA from 1 species
GCGGGUCUGUGGUUGAAAGCCGAUGCCAGUCGCAGGCGAAACGGUCCACGUAAUCCGGCCAAAGGCCGGGGAUCAUGGUGCGGCUUAGAUGUGAGUCCUGCCGCGGGAGACCGCGAGAGAGCAGCGUGGGGGCGUAAAGCUAUGAGCAAAGCUCCGGCAGGCGAGUGUGGGGUCAAAAACCAGGUCAGCCGU